UAGGGAAUAUUGGGCAAUGGGCGAGAGCCUGACCCAGCCAUGCCGCGUGCAGGAAGAAGGCUUUCUGAGUCGUAAACUGCUUUUGACAGGGAAGAAUAAGCUGGACGUGUCCAGUGAUGACGGUACCUGCAGAAUAAGCACCGGCUAACUCCGUGCCAGCAGCCGCGGUAAUACGGAGGGUGCGAGCGGUGUCCGGAGUUAUUGGGUUUAAAGGGUGCGUAGGCGGCCCGUUAAGUCCGGGGUGAAAGCCCGUUGCUCAACAACGGAACUGCCCUGGAUACUGACGGGCUUGAGUACAGACGAGGUUGGCGGAAUGGACCGAGUAGCGGUGAAAUGCAUAGAUACGGUCCAGAACCCCGAUUGCGAAGGCAGCUGACUAGGCUGUUACUGACGCUGAGGCACGACAGCGUGGGGAGCGAACAGG
rnacentral:rRNA from 1 species